rfam:Callipepla squamata strain Texas jcf7180005234339, whole genome shotgun sequence.
CCACUCUUUUGCAGAAUUUUUUCCUAAUAUACAACCAGAAUAAUGGUUGUAUAUACCA